ensembl:lncRNA
GUUUCACUUUUUUUUUUUUUUUUUUUUUGGUGAGGAAGAUUGGCCCUGAGCUAACAUCUGUUGCCAAUCCCCCUCCAUUUUGUACGUGGGAUGCCACCACAGCAUGGCUUGAUGAGCAGUGUGUGUAGGUCCGCACCCAGGAUCCAAAGCCAUGGUCCCCCUGGGCUGCCAAAGCAGAUCAUGUGAACUUAACCACUAUGCUGCCAUGCCAGCCCCUGUCUUUGCCUUCUUGAUAGCGCCCUUUGAAGCACAAGAGGUUUCAGUGGAUCCGGCUUACCUGUUUUUUCCUUUGGUUGCUUGUGCUUUUGGUGUCAUCCAGGAAACCAGUCCAAUGUCAUGAAGCUUUUCCCUUGUGUUUUCUUAAGAGUUCAUAGUUUCAGAAGAGUUCAUAGCUCUUAGGUUUAGGUCUGUCAUCCAUCUGGAGUUCAUUUUUGUAAACGGUGUGAGGUAGGUGGCCAACAUCCUUUGCGUGUGGUUAUCCAGUUGUCCCACCACUGUCUGUUGAAGAGACUGUUACUUCCCCCGUUAAAUGGUCUUGGGACCCUUGUCAAAAAUUUGCUAAUCAUAGAUGCAUGGGGUUUAUCUCUGAACUGACUAAAGAAUUUUUGCACGUUAUGAAAUUCAGAAUUUUCUAGCAGAAACAUGAAUCCCCAUCCCAGAGGCACCCCCCUGUAGCCAGUUUCCUGCCUGGGAAUCGGCACAGGGGCAUCUGAACCCCCGGCUUCCUCAGCACAUCACCGAGAUUCCCUCUGCUCCGGAGUGGCCCCGUCCUUCCCAGCAGCUGCGCGAUGGCCCACAGCGCAGCCCUGCCGCGGUUGUUAGCCCAGGCCCCAGGGAUGGGCCUCUGGAAUCAUUUGCUGCUACAAGCAAAGCUGUGUUGGGUAGCCUUGUGUAUGUGUCACUUCGUGUCUGUGUGAAAGAUGGUCCCGUUGUCCUCCAGGGAGAUUGGGCUUCCCACCGUGCUCUCCUCGAGACCAUAUUGGGCCACGUCACUGCCCUGCUUAAAACGUGGGAAGAUUCUCCAUUACUUGAGGGCUGAAGGCCACCCCUGUGACGCAGCUUCCAAGGGUGUGCGUGCACAGACCUUGCACCCCUGCGUCAUCUCACACCACAGCCCUCGGACCACCCUGGACUCCUUCCAUCUUCCCUCAAGCACCCUUGUCAGCCCCCCCAGGUGCUGUUCCCUCUCCCGGGACGCUUCUGUGCCUUGCUCCCUCGCGCCCUCUGGGUGGCUUCUCACCUUCAGGGUUAAGCCCCUCUGGACCAUCCCCAGGGAAGCUGGCCUGGCUGCCAUCCACUUAGGUGGGCAAGCCUGUGUCUCGCUCGUCAUCUUGUGUCCCCAACACGUGGGAGUGCAAAUGUUAGGAGAAAAUUGCAGCAAAUUGUAAAAAGAAAAACCUGAAGCCAAACAGGCGUCCCAGGAAUCUAAAGGAAAGGGAAGACGUCUGACGUCGGGGAAAUUGUCGAUCAUGUGAUGUGGAAAAUGAUAGAAAUGAGGUCAGGAAAUGAAAAAAUAGACAAAUAUUGCCAAACAUGAUAAAGAAACAACAUACCAGUGGAUGAGCUAUUGCGAUAUGAGAAAAAGACGAGAGAGAAGGCUGUGGCGAGGGGAGCUGUGAAAGCCCGUCUCAGUGGCUGGUAGGUUCAGAAAGAUGCUCAACCUCGCAAAUGGGCAGGAAAUGAACAUCAAAUCAGUAAUGCAAUAACAGCAGAUCCAGAAAACAUUAAGAAUCGUGGCAACACCCAGCACUGGUGAGAACAUGGGACAAAGCAUCUUCACAGUGUUGGUGGCUGUGGGAAUCGCCACAGCCUUGGGGGAGAAAUCCAGCAGUAUUUACAGUAAAAACACAGUGCUCCACGGGGGCCUUCGCGCAGAGACGGGAGCCAGGAAGCAAGCCUCACGGAUGGGUUAGAUGUUGACCACAGCUCCUCAGGAGACAAAGCACAGGGCGCUGAGUGACGGCUGAUCGGCUGAGGGGAGUGUGGUACACUACUCAUACAAAUGAGCCUGGUCUCUGCUCACCUGGAGGGACUCCCACUGCCCAUCAAGUGAGAAAAGCAAGUGUCAGCGUAAACUGCAUGAUUCCACUUCAGGAAAGACAGCAGACAGCCCCAACCGUCCCCCGCCCUCACUGCCGUGUAUGAUACUGUGAGAGAGGGAGACGAUGUGAAAGGCACCCAACUGAUUAUCUGGGGGGUCGGGGGGGUUAGAGGGACAAACUGAAGAAAUAAGAGAAGAAAAGAAAACAAAUUCACAUUGCAAGACCAAAGAAAUCAUAGGAAAACAGCAUGAAGACAUACGUGGAGGAUGUUCAUGACAGAUGCUGUUAACAGCAAAAAUUUGGAAAUAUCACACGUGGAGAGGGUAUUAGUAAAUUACGGCACAACCAGAUUGUGAAAUACUUUGCAGCCCUUCAACGUGAUGUCAUAAUGCCAUCAACACAAAGCAGCAUCUCAGAAGUGCCCUGAGUGAAAACAAUCUGGCUACACAGCUGCCCGGCGAGCUCCUGUCUGUGCCGCGCGAGAGGAGCUCACAUGGCCGGCCGCAGCGCCUCCUUAGAAAGCCCAGCUGGCGGGCUGGGCCCUGGGCUGGGUCCCGGAACUUGGGUUUCAGGAGGAUUCUCACUGCUCUCUGACUGAUAAGGGUUGGCUCACUGCGCCCACACUGUACAAAUGACAUGGCUUGUGCUCCACACCUGCUUUCCUUUGGGGAGUCUGACAUUUUGCUGCAAGCCGGGCAGAGGAUGCCAGCGUGGUCAGACCCCCGUGACAUCCUGGCGUGCUGAGUCUCUCAGGGGCCUCCCUGGGCAGAAGCUCUGAACACGUGCUGCUCUGUUUUUGUUGUUGGGGGAAGCGUGCCCCGGUGUCCCCCAUGGCAGGGAGAGAACAUGAGGAAGCCCACAGGUGGAUUCCUCCAGACGCCACCAGUGUCUUCUCCCUUAAGAUCCGAGUGUGUAUCCUCCCUACACUGUUAUCAUAAAUCUCAGCUGUGAGAGCAACUGUACACCGAGUGCAGUGGAUCCGUCUAGAGAACCUCUGAAUGUGGGGGUGGUCAUGGGGACAUCCUCCCCGGCCCACACGUGUGUAUGGAAACAUCUAGAUGGCGCUCGGGACCUGUUAGGAUGGUCAUCUGGCACCGUGAGUCUGGAGAGGCAGUUGAUUUCCUCUCACUUAGGUAUUUUUCCUAAGUCAGUUUGUGCUAUCACAAUGUAAAUGCAUAAAUUCCAUCAUAUAAAUACAUAAAUAAAACAAGACAACAAAGAUCCACGUUUAAUAUUCCAAAACUCUUCCGCUUCUCCACAGCCGGGCCUCUAACCCCAUCCCCCAGCCUAGGAGCCCUCCCCCACUCUCUCUCUGUCUCUCUACAUUCAAGCCGCCUGCAGGUUCUGUGGGCUCCACCUCCAGCCUUUAUCCAGGACCCCCAUGCUCACCACCUGCACUGCAAGCCCCCACCCACCUUCCACAGCCUGCCUCCCCCACUGGCCGCCUGGGCCAUGGCUGUGGCUUCCUCGCUGGUGUCUGGUGUCCACCCUGCCAGCCCGUGGUGUAUUCUCCAACAUGGCAGCCAGAGGGAGCCUUUUAAAAUCUAAAUCAGAUCAUGCCAUUCCCCUGUAUCAGGCCUUCCAGCUAAAUUUCAACCCCCUCCUAAGCCCAUAAACUACACUCCAUGCACAAGGCUUUCUUUCUGUCCCUUUGACACAGAGCACACACACACACACACACACACACACCUUCAACCUCAGGGCCUUUGCACCUACCAUUUCCUCUGUUUCUGCAGUUAGGCCUCCCUGACAGCUUGUCUACAGCAUCCCCCUUCGGUCUCCAUCUCAUUGCUAUUACUGUCUUCAUAGAACUUAUCACUACUCGCUUAGUGCUAGUCUUGGAACUGGAAUAUAAAGGCCAGGAGGGCGGAGAAACCUUACCUGUCUUAUCCAGGGAUAUACUAUGGUACUCGACGCUACCGGGGUACACAGUAGGUGCUCAGUGUGUGCACGUUACCUGGCAUCAGGCGCUCAGGAGUCUAUCGGGUGAAUGGGCCGCUGCAAAACUCUCCUUAGAAACCCAGUGUUUUCCCAACUGCCUGAUGACGUGGAUAGCUAGGAGCAUCUGUUUAAAGAUGCAGAUUCCUUGGCCCGCCGCCGACGUACUGCGCCCAACUCUCCAGCGGAGGGAAUCCGGGUGUCUGCGAUGCGGCUCAGGGACGGUUCCUAGAGCUGCCUGCUCCAAGGGAGCUCCGUCCUCAGGCUGGCUGAUGGGGGCGUCGGAGACCCCUUCGCUGCUUGGCCUUCCCAACCGGUAACUGUGGUUUAGAGAAAAAGACUAAAACGUGGAGAUGCCGGGGAUUGAACCCGGGGCCUCAUACAUGCAAAGCAUGCGCUCUACCACUGAGCUACAUCCCCUGACUCUUAAGCGCGUUUUCCGGGAAUGAGGAUGUAGGAAGUCGCGCCUUCGCUCCGCUUGUACCUACUUCUUACUUUAAGGACGCUCAGCGUCUCCGUGGGCUCAAGAAGGUCUCUCGGAGCGCUGCGGGAGCUCGCUGACCCGGGGCGCCCGGCGCUGCGACUCCGGAGACCCGGCCCCGAGCAGACGGCAGCGGUAGCCGGAGAACCCGGUCCCCAUAUGGAGCGACCUGGAGAAGAGCGAGAACGGCUCGUCCUCGUUAGUAUAGUGACCGGCUGCGCCGCCCCGAAGCGCGGCCUGGGCGCCCCUGCUGCGCCCCUGCUCCCGAGGGCCGGCGCGUGUGCUCGGUGCACCGCCGCCCCCGAGCUGCGGCCCGAACAGCGGCAGGUGCGGGAGGCUCUGUCUGCGCCCCCUUCUCCGCCUGAGGACGGGGCCCACCAGAGCAGCUCGUGCGCACAGAUCCCCUCCCGGGAGCCCCGCCAGCCAGGUGACUGGCUCUCGUCGCAGGAGAGGAGACUAGGACUUGACACCAAACUGCGUCACAAGCUGUCACCUCCCAGCUGUCCUUCCAAGGCCCGGUCGUCUUUCCUAAAAUCCACUUCCUCUCCGCUGAGGCCUGCGUUCCCGUGCCCUUCCCCGGUUAACGCACUAUAGAAACUCAAGUCUCGCAGCUGGUUUGGGUUUAGUCGCUAUUUAAUCCUGUGAUGCCCCGUACAUGUGAUAUUAACAAUUCAUUAGAAACCAACUUGUCUUUUGGGGGUGAAGAAAACAUUUAUCUGAAGUUCAGUAACUCUGUCCGUUUCAUUAUGAUUUCUUUUUCUUUUGUUAAAUUAAAAUAAAGUUAAUGUUGAUGCUUUUUGUUAAAAACGGGAUAUAGAAUGUGAUCCUAUUUUAAUAAAAAUGAAGCGCCCAUCUCUCUCUCUCCCUUUCUCUCUGUUUAUGUCUGUAGAGGUGGAAUUCCGUCAGCUGCUCUCAUGAGGCUGUUUCUCAGCAGCGGAAUGUGGGCGUGCAUCAGCCCACCUGUUGAUACUUUUCUGUGGUUUUCAAUCUUGAGUGUAUUUUGAUAAAAAAUCAAUCAUAAAAAUAAAAUGAUGUGGCAGUGAUUGUAGCGGACUGAAUAGUAGCCUCCGCAAGAUGUGUCCGCCUGGAAGCUAGGAGUGUGAUCUUGAAAUAAGGGCCUUUGCAGGUGUCAUUAAAGUAAGAGACUCGAGAGGAGAUCAUCGUGAAUUAGGGUAGGUCCUGAGUCUAGUGACACGUGUCCUUACAAGAGACAGAAAAGGAAAGGCCACACAGAGACGUAGAAGGACAGGGGCCGACGGGGGAGCGAUGGAGCGAUGCAUCUAAAAGCCGAGGAGUGCCGAGGAUUGCCCGCCACACCAGGAGCUCCGAGAGGUUUCAUCCUCGAAGCCUCCAGGAGGAACCAACCCUGCGGACACCUUGACUUCAGACUUUUAGCCUCUAAACUGUGAGAAUAAAUCCAGUUUGUGGUCAUUCGUUACAGCAGCCCCAGGAGACACAGUAAUGAUGACCUCGUGACUCAUUUAUUCAACAAAUGUUUGUUGCCAGCUUCCUCUCUCCUGGUCAUUGGGCUGACAUGUUUGAGAAGAACGGGACAGACUGCAUGAACUGAAUGAUUGGGAAAGAAAUUAUGAGGAAACAAAACAAAGUGAAUAAACCAUUUUAAAAAGUAGUAACAAUGGUCAUGAGACUGGGAUAGCAUUUUACCUUCUCAGUUGUUAAUGACAUCAAUUACAUUUCCAAAACACAUUUUGCUUUAGGAUCACUGUAGAUUCAUGCCCAAUGGACACUGAAGCCUGCUC